rnacentral:tRNA from 1 species
GCCGGUGUGGCGGAAUUGGCAGACGCGACGGAUUCAAAAUCCGUUUCCCGUUAAGGGAGUGUGGGUUCGAGUCCCUCCACCGGCA